CCUACGGGAGGCAGCAGUGGGGAAUAUUGGGCAAUGGGCGAAAGCCUGACCCAGCAACGCCGCGUGAAGGAAGAAGGCUUUCGGGUUGUAAACUUCUUUUGACAGGGAAGAGCAGAAGACGGUACCUGUCGAAUAAGCCACGGCUAACUACGUGCCAGCAGCCGCGGUAAUACGUAGGUGGCAAGCGUUGUCCGGAUUUACUGGGGGUAAAGGGCGUGUAGCCGGGCUGACAAGUCAGAUGUGAAAUCCGGGGGCUCAACCCGCGAACUGCAUUUGAAACUGUUGGUCUUGAGUAUCGGAGAGGCAGGCGGAAUUCCUAGUGUAGCGGUGAAAUGCGUAGAUAUUAGGAGGAACACCAGUGGCGAAGGCGGCCUGCUGGACGACAACUGACGGUGAGGCGCGAAAGCGUGGGGAGCAAACAGGAUUAGAUACCCCGGUAGUC
rnacentral:rRNA from 1 species